AACGAACGCUGGCGGCAUGCCUAACACAUGCAAGUCGAACGAGACCUUCGGGUCUAGUGGCGCACGGGUGCGUAACGCGUGGGAACCUGCCCUUAGGUUCGGAAUAACUCCCCGAAAGGGGUGCUAAUACCGGAUAAUGUCUUCGGACCAAAGAUUUAUCGCCUUUGGAUGGGCCCGCGUUGGAUUAGCUAGUUGGUAGGGUAAAAGCCUACCAAGGCGACGAUCCAUAGCUGGUCUGAGAGGAUGAUCAGCCACACUGGGACUGAGACACGGCCCAGACUCCUACGGGAGGCAGCAGUGGGGAACAUUGGACAAUGGGCGAAAGCCUGAUCCAGCAAUGCCGCGUGAGUGAUGAAGGCCUUAGGGUUGUAAAGCUCUUUUACCCGGGAUGAUAAUGACGGUACCGGGAGAAUAAGCUCCGGCUAACCCCGUG
rnacentral:rRNA from 1 species